GCUUUAAAGUUUGCUAAAGAGGAGCUGGAGAGAUGGCCCAGCACCUGAGAACCCAAUUCCUGAGUCAAUUCCCAAAAUCCACAUCUGGCUGUUCACAUGCACCUGUAUCUAAAGCUCCAUGGGAUCUAAUACCUCUGGUCUUCACAAUCGCCUGUACACACACACACACACACACACACACACACAGAGGCAUAAUUUUUAAGAAAAUUUUCCAGGAGGAUAAUUCCACGACUAUGAUUGUGGAAUGUUGCAGAUUCAGAGCCAAGUUAUCCUGGGUCAUACUUUGUUCCAUUAGUAGCCAUUCAUUGCCCAUCUCUUGUGUCUGAUUUUAUGCCACAAUCCUUGUGAUUCAAAUAUUAACCCACCACUACCUUGCACCAACACAAAGCUACCAGUGUCAUCAGUAUCUGAAACCUACAGAAAACAAAGUUCCCACUUUUCUGCAACCUGAUGUUUUUGAUUCACCAAUGUAUUUGAAAAAAUAAAUGCCUUGGUUUAUGUAGUAAGUUCUGAAUGAACAAAUAAAUGCAAAUAAAUAAAUAAAUGCAAA
rnacentral:lncRNA from 1 species